UUCCUGAGCGCGCCGAGCCUCGCCAGCCAGGAACUCCAGCCCGAGAGUCGGGCCAGGCGAGGACGGGGGACCCAUAUUGGUCGGCGACGACGACGUCUCGACCUGGGGUGAGGUCGCGAGAGCGACGGGGCACCUGACGCCCCAACCCGACAGCUAACUCCGCAGGCGCACGUCAGGAAGGAAUC
rnacentral:sRNA from 2 species